AACGAACGCUGGCGGCAGGCCUAACACAUGCAAGUCGAGCGAGGACUUCGGUCCUAGCGGCGGACGGGUGAGUAACGCGUGGGAACGUGCCCUUUGCUUCGGAAUAGCCCUGGGAAACUGGGAGUAAUACCGGAUGAGCCCUUUGGGGGAAAGAUUUAUCGGCGAAGGAUCGGCCCGCGUUGGAUUAGGUAGUUGGUGGGGUAAUGGCCUACCAAGCCGACGAUCCAUAGCUGGUUUGAGAGGAUGAUCAGCCACACUGGGACUGAGACACGGCCCAGACUCCUACGGGAGGCAGCAGUGGGGAAUCUUAGACAAUGGGGGAAGCCCUGAUCUAGCCAUGCCGCGUGAGCGAUGAAGGCCUUAGGGUUGUAAAGCUCUUUGAGCUGGGAAGAUAAUGACGGUACCAGCAGAAGAAGCCCCGGCUAACUCCGUG
rnacentral:rRNA from 1 species